GGGCAGGUAGCUCAGUUGGUAGAGCAACGGACUGAAAAUCCGUGUGUCGCCGGUUCAAAUCCGGCUCUGCCCA
rnacentral:tRNA from 1 species